UCCUUUACACCUGCCUGCGGAGCACCCGGCAGAGCGCUCGCAGGUGCUUUGUGCUGCGGGCCGUGUUCCUCCUGGCCCACUCUCACCCACAGCCGGUGCUCGACAGCCUCCUCCAGGCGUGCCUGCCCACAGACAGAUCACCCACGCCCUCUGCGAGGUGGUGUCAGUGCUGCAGAGGAAGACACUGGUCCAGCGCCUGCUUCCCUCCCUGCUUCCCGGCCUUCUGAGGCAGGUCAGCGAGACGCUGGGGGAGGAGCUGGCACCGUCCGUUGGGGACCUGGAGAGCGCUGACAUGCCGGGCAGCCUUUUUGUGGCGGCAUUGGAGCUGGUGCUGGCGAGGUGCCUGGACAAUCGGUGGCUGCGGCUGCUCCGGGAGCAGGGAGCGUGGGCGUCCCUGGCAGAGCCCCGGGCUCACAGCACCGGCGUGUGUCUCCU